rnacentral:sRNA from 3 species
AACCACCUGCUAUGCAGGUGUGUUCAGAAAAGCUUUUAGCGAUGAGUAUGACAAAAAAGACCUCCUUUUGAUACAAUAGAAAAGG